rnacentral:rRNA from 1 species
GUGGGGAAUAUUGGACAAUGGGGGCAACCCUGAUCCAGCCAUGCCGCGUGAGUGAUGAAGGCCCUAGGGUUGUAAAGCUCUUUUGUGCGGGAAGAUAAUGACGGUACCGCAAGAAUAAGCCCCGGCUAACUUCGUGCCAGCAGCCGCGGUAAUACGAAGGGGGCUAGCGUUGCUCGGAAUCACUGGGCGUAAAGGGUGCGUAGGCGGGUCUUUAAGUCAGGGGUGAAAUCCUGGAGCUCAACUCCAGAACUGCCUUUGAUACUGAAGAUCUUGAGUAUGGGAGAGGUGAGUGGAACUGCGAGUGUAGAGGUGAAAUUCGUAGAUAUUCGCAAGAACACCAGUGGCGAAGGCGGCUCACUGGCCCAUAACUGACGCUGAGGCACGAAAGCGUGGGGAGCAAACAGG